rnacentral:lncRNA from 1 species
UUCGUUGUAGUUAAACUUAAUGUUUAUUAUAUUUUAUCAGUUUAACAUUGUUGAAGGCUAACGAUAAUUUAUUCUGCAUUAUCUUAGUCAUUAUAUUUCUUACUGGGCCAGUUGAGCUCACCCUUUUGCUUUCAUUGUUCUCUUCAGGAAAUGAGAACAUAGCUGGGACUAGUCGGGGAACGAAGUGACGGUCCAGAUGUUUGCAUUAGUAGUCCUCACUAUUUU